rnacentral:snRNA from 1 species
AGGUAUGAAGGCAGUCUGGCAGCGACAUCUGUUACCCCCUUGAUCACCAGGGUUGAUUAGGCUGAUCUGGGUGUCACCUUCCUCACUGCUCCAUGUACAUCCCUCCUGACACUACACACUAGGUCAAAGAGGAAGACCUUCCCAACUAGAGGAGGAUCGCUCUUCAGUCAAGGGUAUACAAGUAGCCGCACUCCCCUGCUAGAACCUCCAAACAAGCUCUCAGGGUCCAUUUGUAGAACACACGGUAGUCAAACUUCCAAGGCUCCAGACACAUCCACAUGAGGCACUGCCUGUGGCUGUCUGUCUUUCUUU